GGCCGCGGGCGCGUGCUCGCAUGCCUGUGGUAUUUGCUCAGAGGGGCAUGACCACUUCGGGCAAGUCUUUAAAUUGACUGGACCUGGGAGCUGAAGAGAUCAAGAUCUACCUCCCUGUAACCAAGGUGUUGCACUCCAGAGGGAAAGCUGUGUCCUGAACAAUGAUGCCAGCAGAUACCCUGACCUUCUGCCAAUCUCUAGAUGGGACUGUCUAGCUGCAGGAAAACAAACUCAAGGCUCCCGCUGAUUCCACAUUACGGGAUGUGAUCAUCUGGGGAGCACUACUGAUGGCAGAGCGGAGAGAGUAAAUAUUCCCAAACUUGAGAGCAAGAGGGAUCACCUCAUUAUCUCUGGCCUCUUCUCACCAUCCUGCCUCCCAGUUUGCCUUGUGGCUUUGAAAGAUGAAUACCUGUGAGCACCCAUGUGACUGUAACACAGCUUCCCAAGUACUUGAUCCUCAAGGAGAGAAUGGGUGUUAGCCCCUCGGCCGUUCCAUUCCGAUGUCCACAGCUGGCUGAUAGGGUCAGGGGACAUGACGCAUAACAACAUGAAGUAAAAGUCACUGUUUGUAGGUUUAGUGUCCCACACAUUCCGACAAACCCAGCAGUGUAUGAAAGAGCCAGUGAAAACCCCAGCCAGACCAUACUGAAUCAUUGAGAAACACAGAAGAGGGAGGUGCCCAUCCCCUCUUGGUGAUGGGGGAGCUGGAGGGCAAUGACUUCAUCAGCUAUUCUUGCUGUCACAGUCCCAGUGUCUCGAGGUGUUCCCGGUUCAUCUCUGUGUAUCUAUCGUUAUGUGAAUGGUUGUAACCAUGAAUUUAUGAACAGGGGGCUUCAGCCUGUUUCUGUGUGUGCAUGUGUGUGUGGUGUGUAUGUAUGUGUGUGUGUGUGUGUGUGUGUGUGUGUGUGUGUUCUUUCAAACACACUCACUUCCUCUUCUGCUGCUCACUGCCGCAAUGCUCCAAGAACCCAGCACCAGGUUUCCAUUAGUGAAGCACAUUUUUGUGCUAUGGAUGUUGAACCAAGGGGGAAAGAAAGCAGAAUCUUGUCCGUGAUGGAUGGGUUUUCUAGAGAACUUCCCAGGGUGGUCCUUAAGGGGGCCAGCACGGAGGCAUGCUGGCUGCACAGCCUCAAAACAUUCCCUUGUUUGGGUUUGACAUGUGUGUUGGGGGUCUGUCUGCUCUGCUGCUGGGCCCUGUGACUCCAUUCAUCCCUGGGCCCUCCUUUCUGCCUCGAUCCUUCCCUUCCCCCCAGCAUCCCUCACUUCCAGUUUACCCGAGUUCAAAAAUCCUUUUUUUCUCUUUCUAGAUUAAAAAGUAGUUUGUCCUGCGUGCUUCCUUUUGGCUGUGUAUAUGGCUGCCCCUAAGAGGUAACGGAAAGUCAGAGGACCAGGGCUGAUACAAUGUCACCAGUCACUCCUGCAUGUGAACAAUCUCUGUGUGUAUCUUCAGAAUGCUGAGGUUUUCACAGACUUUAUAAGCAUGAUUUUCCUAUGGCUGAGUACAGACAGAAGGAGAGAUGAGGUGGAUGAGCCGAAAGCUCAUUUCUGGAUUCCCAAUAUCUCACACAAUGCCUCAAACACAAUUAGCAUGUGUUGGAUAAAUGAUUAAUAAAAAUAACUAGGAUUCUAUAGAAACUGAGUUUAUAAAUCCCUUUCCCUCUGCUCGG